GUUCUCUGAGGAAAUAUCCCGCUGAUAUCAAAGUCAAAUCUCCAGACACUUACACGCUGGUGGGGCAGAACGUCACGCUGGAGUGCUUCGCACUGGGGAACCCCAUCCCUCAGAUCCGAUGGAGGAAGGUGGAUGGCGAUCUGCCAGUCCAUCGUUAUAACAUCAGUAUGGCAGGAAGUCUCCUCCAUCUUUACGACAUUCAGUACGAGGACGAGGGUUUGUAUGAGUGCGUGGCCGACAACUCCAAAGGCAAAGACCGACACAAAGUGCACCUGUAUGUGGAGGGAGCUCCUGAAUGGGUGGAGAAAAUCAGCCCCUCAGAAAGAGACAUCGGAGGCGAUUACAUCAUGUCCUGU